AAUCAACGCUGGCGGCGUGCCUAACACAUGCAAGUCGAACGCGAAAGCCCCUUCGGGGGUAAGUAGAGUGGCGUCCGGGUGAGUAACACGUAGGUAAUCUACCUUCGGGUGGGGAAUAACUCGCCGAAAGGCGAGCUAAUACCGCAUAAUGCAGCGGCACCUAAUGGUGAUUAGUUGUUAAAGCGGGGGAUCGUAAGACCUCGCGCCUGAAGAGGAGCCUGCGGCAGAUUAGCUAGUU
rnacentral:rRNA from 1 species